UACAGAGGUGGCAAGCGUUGUUCGGAAUUACUGGGCGUAAAGGGCGCGUAGGCGGCCCACUAAGUCAGACGUGAAAUCCCCCGGCUUAACCUGGGAACUGCGUCUGAUACUGGAGGGCUUGAGUAUGGGAGAGGGAUGUAGAAUUCCAGGUGUAGCGGUGAAAUGCGUAGAUAUCUGGAGGAAUACCGGUGGCGAAGGCGGCAUCCUGGACCAUUACUGACGCUGAGGCGCGAAAGCUAGGGGAGCGAACAGG
rnacentral:rRNA from 1 species